UACGUAGGGUGCAAGCGUUAAUCGGAAUUACUGGGCGUAAAGCGUGCGCAGGCGGUUUUCCAAGACAGAUGUGAAAUCCCCGGGCUCAACCUGGGAUGGCAUUUGUGACUGGAAGGCUAGAGUGUGUCAGAGGGGGGUAGAAUUCCACGUGUAGCAGUGAAUGCGUAGAGAUGUGGAGGAAUACCGAUGGCGAAGGCAGCCCCCUGGGAUAACACUGACGCUCAUGCACGAAAGCGUGGGGAGCAAACAGG
rnacentral:rRNA from 1 species